rnacentral:rRNA from 1 species
UAUGAUCCAGAGUACCACGGGACACGUGAAACCCUGUGGGAAGCAGGAGGGACCACCCUCCAAGGCUAAAUACUACCUAGUGACCGAUAGCGUAUAGUACCGUGAGGGAAAGGUGAAAAGAACCCCGGGAGGGGAGUGAAAUAGAACCUGAAACCCUGCACUUACAAGCUGUGGAAGCACAUUUCUUGUGUGACCGCGUACUUUUUGUAGAACGGGCCAACGAGUUACGUUAAGUAGCAAGGUUAAGCACUUAAGGUGCGGAGCCGUAGCGAAAGCGAGUUUUAACUGAGCGUUCAGUUACUUGACGUAGACCCGAAACCGGGCGACCUACCCAUGAGCAGGAUGAAGCGAAAGUAAAAUUUCGUGGAGGUCCGAACCCACGAGCGUUGAAAAGCUCGGGGAUGACUUGUGGGUAGCGGUGAAAUUCCAAUCGAGCCCGGAGAUAGCUGGUUCUCCCCGAAAUAGCUUUAGGGCUAGCCUCAAGGUGAGAGAUACGGAGGUAGAGCACUGAAUGUCCUAGGGGGUAUUGCACCUACCGAAGACUAUCAAACUCCGAAUGCCGUCAUCUUAUACUGGGAGUCAGACUGUGGGUGAUAAGAUUCAUAGUCGAAAGGGCAACAGCCCAGAUCGUCAGCUAAGGUCCCUAAAUGUAAGUUAAGUGGUAAAGGAUGUGGGAUUGCACAGACAACCAGGAUGUUGGCUUAGAAGCAGCCACUCAUUCAAAGAGUGCGUAAUAGCUCACUGGUCGAGUGAUCCUGCGCCGAAGAUUUCCGGGGCUAAAACUUACUACCGAAGCUACGGCAUCAGUAAUGAUGGGUAGGGGAGCUUCCCAUACGGGUUGAAGCAUGACCGUAAGGACAUGUGGACAGU